UACGUAGGGUGCGAGCGUUGUCCGGAAUUAUUGGGCGUAAAGGGCUCGUAGGCGGUUUGUCACGUCGGGAGUGAAAACUCGGGGCUUAAUCCCGAGCCUGCUUCCGAUACGGGCAGACUAGAGGUAUGCAGGGGAGAACGGAAUUCCUGGUGUAGCGGUGAAAUGCGCAGAUAUCAGGAGGAACACCGGUGGCGAAGGCGGCUUCCUGGACCGACACUGACGCUGAGGCGCGAAAGCUAGGGGAGCAAACGGG
rnacentral:rRNA from 1 species